rnacentral:sRNA from 1 species
CACACACGGGAUAUGGGUUCCUGCCGGGAGAAAUCCGGCCGGGGCCUCCGGUGGCGAGAGAUCGCCUGCUCCCGUGGAGGUUCAACCGGAAAGGAAAAUA